AGGGGCGUCAGUCAGUGGUAGGCUCUUGGUCUCCAAAACCAAUGACGAAGGUCCGAUUCCUUCCGCCCCUG
rnacentral:tRNA from 1 species